rnacentral:pre_miRNA from 1 species
UCACCUCCGCAGGCUGGCUGGCUGGGCUGGGUGAGUAGCUCAUCGAAAGACUCACCCUCCAGCAUGACUAGGAGC